UACAGAGGUGCCAAGCGUUGUUCGGAUUUAUUGGGCGUAAAGGGUGCGUAGGUGGUGACGAAAGUCGGGUGUGAAAUCCCGGAGCCUAACUCCGGAAUGGCAUUCGAAACUUCGUUGCUCGAGGUCUGGAGAGGUAACUGGAAUUCUCGGUGUAGCAGUGAAAUGCGUAGAUAUCGAGAGGAACACCAGAGGCGAAAGCGAGUUACUGGACAGAACCUGACACUGAGGCACGAAAGCCAGGGGAG
rnacentral:rRNA from 1 species